CACGGGAUGAGAGAUGGAGAGAGAGAGAAAGAGACACAUGCAGUGGGACAGAGGGGAGGGGGGGUAGAGGAUUUGAGGGAGUGGAUACGAGGGGGUAGGUAUGGGCCGAGGCGGACCGCUACAAAUAGCCAGAGUGUGUCUUGUGAGUCCCUCAGUCAGCCUCCCCUGCUCCAGUCCACUCCAGCUGCCCUCCCAGACUCGUAUCCCGCUCCAGCCCAGAACCUCCUGCUCCAUUCCAUCUUGCUCUCCACCAUGAGCUACAGCUCUUCUGCCCAGGCUGCCCAUUCCGGCUCCUCCUCCUACCGCCGCACCUUUGGGGCUGGGUACAGCCCUGCCAUGUCCCACUCCCUCUACAGCAACCGGGCCUCAGGCGGUGGCCUGGGACACGGUGGCUCUGGGCACAUCUCCUCCAGGGUCUACGAGGUCACCAAGACCUCAUCCUCGCCCGCCUACUCUGGCUACCGCACGUCGUCCCGCUUCGGCGGCCCCGUGAUGUCGUCGACCGCACACGGCUCAAGGUCAUACGCCGGGAUGGGGGAGACGCUGGACUUCAGCCUUGCCGACGCCCUGAACCAGGAGUUCCUCCACACGCGCACCAACGAGAAGGUUGAGCUGCAGCACCUCAACGACCGCUUCGCCAGCUACAUCGAGAAAGUCCGCUUCCUGGAGCAGCAGAACGCCACGUUGGUGGUUGAGAUCGAGAGGCUGCGAGGACGCGAGCCCACGCGCAUCGCUGAUCUCUACGAGGAGGAGAUGGCGGAUCUGCGGCGCCAGGUGGAGGCUUUGACCAACCAGAGGAGCCGUGUCGAGGUAGAGCGGGACAACUUUGCCGAUGACCUGGACAAACUGAAACUCAGACUGCAGGAAGAGGUCCUUCAGAGGGAGGAGGCGGAGAACAGCCUAGCUGCUUUCAGGGCUGACGUGGAUUCAGCCACUUUGGCCCGUCUGGACUUGGAGAGACGCAUCGAGACCCUACAGGAGGAGAUCGCUUUCCUCAAGAAGAUUCACGAGGAGGAGAUCCGUGAGAUGCAGUCCCAGAUGCAGGAGACCCAGGUCCAGGUUCAGAUGGACAUGUCCAAGCCGGACCUUACAGCCGCCCUGAGGGACAUCAGGGCCCAGUAUGAGGGCAUCGCCGCCAAGAACAUCCAGGAGGCUGAAGAGUGGUACAAGUCCAAGGUGACAGACCUGAACCAGGCAGUGAGUAAGAACAACGAGGCCCUAAAGCAAGCUAAAAUGGAGACCAUGGAGUUCAGACACCAGCUCCAGUCCUACACCUGUGAGAUCGACUCACUAAAGGGCACCAACGAGUCUCUGAUGCGCCAGAUGAGGGAGAUGGAGGAGCGCCACGGGCGUGACGCUGGCGGAUUCCAAGACACAAUUGCCCGCCUGGAGGCCGAGAUUGCCAACAUGAAGGAUGAGAUGGCCAGGCACCUCCGAGAGUACCAGGACCUGCUCAAUGUCAAGAUGGCCCUGGACGUAGAGAUAGCCACCUACAGAAAACUGCUGGAGGGGGAGGAAAGCAGGAUUUCUCUGCCUGUACAGAGCUAUGCCACCAUGUCCUUCCGUGAAACAAGCCCGGAGCACCACCACCGCGUUGCUGAAUCGCACUCAAAGAAAAGUGUCCUCAUCAAGACCAUAGAGACGCGUGACGGAGAGGUUGGGAUCAAUUCAAAUCCACCAUAUUAAUGUCCACACCGGCCUUGUUCAUCUUGUGCACACUUGGAAGUUGUUCUGCAAGGUGGUCUGUGAGUCAACACAGCAUCAGCAAGACAUCAUGUAACACUGAAAGAAAAGAUGAAGAACAAAGAAAAAAGAGAAGAAAACCCCUCAAAUAGAACAAAAAAAGGACAUGAACCACUUAUCCUCUGGGCCCUUAGUUGUUCUUAUUUCAAAGACAAGAAGUUUUCAAAUCAUACAAAAGAUGUAACAAAGAAAAAGAGAAAAUAAAGUCACCAGACACUGGGUGAUGCAUAGUACAAGCUCACCCGUUUGUCCUUUCCUCCAAGAUCUAUGCGCACCAUAUUGUCUUUAUUUAUGACUAUGAUAAUACUGUUUUUGCUGUUCUACCACAAGGCUUAUAUUAGCAUGAUAGAAGGAGCUCAGAUGACAUAUGCAGAGAGAAAAAGAGAAGUAUCUUGGAAAAGGAGAUGGGAUGAAAUAGGAAUGAAGGCUAAAUAUUCAAAGGGGGCGGGGGUUGAAAGGUGUGUACAUGAACAGACCAAUGGGAGGCUGACAGUGGCUUCUGAUGUCAGGACGAUUGGUCGGCCUAGUUAAGUUGAUGGACUAAUAAAGCAAAUAGCGACACCUGCUCACGAGAA